AUAUACGACCGUACCGCAAACCGACACUGGUGCGCGAGAUGAGUAUUCUAAGGCGCUUGAGAGAACUCAGGAGAAGGAACUCGGCAAAUUGACACCGUAACUUCGGAAGAAGGUGUGCCCUAUUAGUGUGUAGUGAACAACGAAGCAUGAAUGGGUUGCAAAAAAUCGGUGGCUGCGACUGUUUAUUAAAAACACAGCACUCUGCAAACACGAAAGUGGACGUAUAGGGUGUGACGCCUGCCCGGUGCUGGAAGAUUAAAUGAUGGGGUGCAAGCUCUUGAUUGAAGUCCCAGUAAACGGCGGCCGUAACUAUAACGGUCCUAAGGUAGCGAAAUUCCUUGUCGGGUAAGUUCCGACCUGCACGAAUGGCGUAACGAUGGCCACACUGUCUCCUCCUGAGACUCAGCGAAGUUGAAAUGUUUGUGAUGAUGCAAUCUCCCCGCGGAAAGACGGAAAGACCCCAUGAACCUUUACUGUAGCUUUGUAUUGGACUUUGAACAGAUCUGUGUAGGAUAGGUGGGAGGCUUUGAAGCAGGGUCGCUAGAUCUUGUGGAGCCAACGUUGAAAUACCACCCUGGUGUGUUUGAGGUUCUAACCUAGGUCCAUUAUCUGGAUCGGGGACAGUGCAUGGUAGGCAGUUUGACUGGGGCGGUCUCCUCCCAAAGCGUAACGGAGGAGUUCGAAGGUACGCUAGUUACGGUCGGACAUCGUGACGAUAGUGCAAUGGCAUAAGCGUGCUUAACUGCGAGACUGACAAGUCGAGCAGAUGCGAAAGCAGGACAUAGUGAUCCGGUGGUUCUGUAUGGAAGGGCCAUCGCUCAACGGAUAAAAGGUACUCUGGGGAUAACAGGCUGAUACCGCCCAAGAGUUCAUAUCGACGGCGGUGUUUGGCACCUCGAUGUCGGCUCAUCUCAUCCUGGGGCUGUAGCCGGUCCCAAGGGUAUGGCUGUUCGCCAUUUAAAGAGGUACGUGAGCUGGGUUUAAAACGUCGUGAGACAGUUUGGUCCCUAUCUUCCGUGGGCGCUGCAGAUUUGAGGAAGCCUGCUCCUAGUACGAGAGGACCGGAGUGGACACACCUCUGGUGUAUCGGUUGUCACGCCAGUGGCAUUGCCGAGUAGCUAAGUGUGGAAGAGAUAACCGCUGAAAGCAUCUAAGCGGGAAACUCGUUUCAAGAUGAGAUCUGCCGGGGCCUUGAGCCCCCUAAAGAGUCGUUCAAGACCAGGACGUUGAUAGGUCAGGUGUGGAAGCG
rnacentral:rRNA from 1 species